rnacentral:tRNA from 1 species
UCCUAGGUGGAUCAGUGGUAAAGAAUCUGCCUGAAAUGCAGAAGACCUGGGUUUUAUCCCCAGGUUGGGAA